AGGGCGCGGUAGACUCCUUGGCGCCUGCGGGCUGCUGCGGGCAGCACUGGCAGAGUGCGGUGGCUCUGGGUGGGCGGGGCCGUACACCCGCGGUCUUCUCUCCAGGCGGGACGAGGCUGUGCUAACGGGUUACUUUGAGAAGUGGCGGUUCUAGGUUCUGGUGUGAGACUCCUUCUUUGGGCAGUGUAUUUGGAUGGCUCAGAAAUGGGCGCCGCUCCACUUAACCCCGAGUUCUCAGUCUGGAAAGAUCAGAAUGUCAAAACACUUUUCGAGAACCUGCCUGACAAAGUCAUUCAACAUGAGUUAAAAGAAGUGUUUAAGGAUGCCUUUCAAGUCAGAUUGGUGAGCAAGGAUGGGACGAGUAAAAGUGUAUUUUGUACCUAUAUUGAAAAAGAAUAUAUUUCUACUGGAUUCAGACAUAACAGAAUUUCAUUACAUUCUCCUUAACUGCUUAAGGAAAGAAAAAAGAAGAGAAAAGAAAAGAAAAGAAAAGAAAAAAAAGAACCAACAACCCAGGAAAAAUAGUGGCAAAUUAUAAACAGGAAGUUCGGGUUUGUGAAUUUUAAAUUUGCUCAUGACCAGGGAAGAGCCUUGAGACUUAGUGAGACAAACGUCCUUGGGUAUGAAAUUAAAUUAAGAAAACCGAAAAGAAAGGAUGUAAGAAAGAUCAGAAUGUCAAAACACUUUUCGAGAACCUGCCUGACAAAGUCAUUCAACAUGAGUUAAAAGAAGUGUUUAAGGAUGCCUUUCAAGUCAGAUUGGUGAGCAAGGAUGGGACGAGUAAAAGUGUAUUUUGUACCUAUAUUGAAAAAGAAUAUAUUUCUACUGGAUUCAGACAUAACAGAAUUUCAUUACAUUCUCCUUAACUGCUUAAGGAAAGAAAAAAGAAGAGAAAAGAAAAGAAAAGAAAAGAAAAAAAAGAACCAACAACCCAGGAAAAAUAGUGGCAAAUUAUAAACAGUUUGAAUCCUGCAUGUGUGUCACUAAUUCAGAAGAUGAAAGGACUAAAUGUUGACUCUUCGUUCUUCUCUCCCCCACACCAUCUCCACAACUGCAGGAUUGCAUAUGUUGAUUUCAAGUCACAGGCUGAUGCAGAAAGAGCCUUGGACUAGAAACAAGGAGCAGAGGUCAGUGGGCUUGCCAUAGUUCUGGGCCACGCUGGAGAGAAAAGCCAAGGCCAAGAAGGGAGGGGGGAGACGCACAGCACAUAGAGAAGUAAGGGAUGUUAACGUGCUGUAGACUGAGGCUUGCCAGGGUUGUCAGCAGAGUCCCCCAGAGAGGGGCUUACAGGGGGAGAGGGACACUUCCAUACAAUGUCUCCCUGUAUCAAAAAUGUGUAAGUCAUCCUCCUAUCAAGCAAAUGAGUAGUGUCCUAGUUAACUGUAACCACAAAAUCUGCAAAAACAUGGCACUUUGAGGUCCAUCAGCUCCCCAAGAAGGGGAUUCUGUUUGGACAGGUUCUUAAACCUGUGGUUUCAGAAUUCGAGAUUUAAUUCUCUUCAAGUAGAGUUUUUGUCUGCUUUAAACCAGAGAUCCCAAACCAGUGUCCCUAAGCUGCCUAAUUUGAUGGGUAGAUGUGGUAUAUAUAAUAUUUUCAGGAAAAAGAAUUUAUUAUGUAUCAUGAAAUUUCACAUUGGUAGUAUCCCUCAUCUGCCUAAUCUGAUGGGUAGAUGUUGUAGCUUAUCUAGUAUUUACAGGAAAAAAACCCAAUCUAUUACUAAUAUUUUUAAGAAUCAAGGACUUUCAGGUAGAAUUCUGGAUUUCCAGCUUCUUUUGCUGGGGCCUCAAAAUUGAUGGCCUGGGGCUGCGUUCCUGCGUGUCUGCAGUCACCUGCACAAGGACAAUCAGAGAUUUCUUCUUAGUCAUGCCCUACAGUCCCCAAGCCCCCACAAUUUACUCAGUUCUCCCCUACUUCGAAGGAGUGAACUGCACACUUCCACUUUGCAAAAAUAGAGUCUCUACGUUUCUCUUGCAAAGUAGUACUUUUCUAUCUGUAAAGGUGACAUUUUAAUAUUUCUUAUGUGUUUGUGUGUUCCAAAAGUGGGAAAACAAAAGCUAAAACAAGAAAGCCAUGUGUUUCAAGAAAAAUAGGAACAAGCUUAUUUCUUUGUGGAGGUUAAGAAUGUUCCUACGUGUUUAAUAUGCAAAGUGUGCCGGUGUCGAUGGAAUUGAACCUCAGACGCCAUUAUGAAACAAUCCACAGAAGGAACCAUGAUGGAUAUACUCAAAAGAU